rnacentral:rRNA from 1 species
AGCAGCCGCGGUAAUUCCAGCUCCAAUAGCGUAUAUUAAAGUUGUUGCAGUUAAAAAGCUCGUAGUUGAAUUUCGGGAUUGACACAUCGGUCGUGCCUUAAGGGGUAUGAACUGGUGUAGUCAGUUUCUCACCUUCUGGAGAACCGCGAUGUCCUUAAUUGGGUGCCGCGAGGAACCAGGACCUUUACUUUGAAAAAUUAGAGUGUUUAAAGCAGGCAUUUUGCUUGAAUACAUUAGCAUGGAAUAAUAAAAUAGGACGGAUGGUUCUAUUUUGUUGGUUUCUAGGAUCACCGUAAUGAUUAAUAGGGAUAGUUGGGGGCAUUAGUAUUCAAUUGUCAGAGGUGAAAUUCUUGGAUUUAUUGAAGACUAACUACUGCGAAAGCAUUUGCCAAGGAUGUUUUCAUUAAUCAAGAACGAAAGUUAGGGGAUCGAAGACGAUCAGAUACCGUC